GUAAGAAUAUGGUGAGGCUGUUUGUUAUUUUGGAAGUCAAUUCUGUUGUUUCUCUUUAUGAAUGAUUUUUAUGAUAGAAGGGAAAACAACAUGCCAUUGUUACUUCUUUAUCUUUAUUGCGAAUUUAUGAUCAGUAACCUGGAGAAAUAUAAUUCUCUCUUUUGUUCACAGAUAUGUGGUUAAUUAUUUUUCUUUUUAUUUAUUUGGUAGAGAAGAUAUAAUAGGCUAUGAAUCCUCCUGUUUAGAGAAAUAUGAUUAUUUGAUUCAGAGUUUAAUUCUAUCUUUACAUGGGAUUAGCUUGCAGUUGAGUGUAUUUUU
rnacentral:misc_RNA from 1 species